rnacentral:rRNA from 1 species
GAUGAACGCUAGCGGCAGGCUUAAUACAUGCAAGUCGUGGGGCAGCAGGACUGUAGCAAUACAGUUGCUGGCGACCGGCAAACGUGUGUGGAACACGUACGCAACUUACCCUGAACUGGGGGAUAGCCCGGGGAAACCCGGAUUAAUACCCCGUAAUAUAAUGGAGUGGCAUCACUUUAUUAUUAAAGCUCCGGCGGUUCGGGAUGGGCGUGCGGCUGAUUAGGUAGUUGGUUGAGGUAACGGCUCACCAAGCCUACGAUCAGUAACUGGUGUGCGGGCACGGCCAGUCACAGGGGGACGGAGACACGGGCCCGGCGCCUACGGGAGGCAGCAGUAAGGAAGAUGGGGCAAUGGAGGCAACUCUGACCCAGCCAUGCCGCGUGGAGGAUGAAGGCCCUCGGGGUUGUAAACUUCUUUUAUAGGGGACGAAACCUGUGUAUGCUGACGCAGUUGACGGUACCCUAGGAAUAAGCACCGGCUAACUCCGUG